CCUCGAUGGAUCCUCCUCCAUGGGGAAAGCUCCUUUCAGGUUGAUGAUGUUACUUUUGUUUUCAAACAUCCCAUAACUCAGAGUGAUCUGACAUGGAAGAGAAGAAGUCACGUCAAGAUGGUUCCAGAAGGUUUUCCAGAUGGGAGUGGAAGAGGUUGCUGCGGAUCAGGGGCACGCCCAAGACCGACUCGAUGAUGUAACCGAUGGUGCAGUCGUCCGGCAGGCGGAUCUUCUCCGCCGUGUUCAUGAAGUGGCCGCCGCUAGAGAUGAGACACGGUUAAGAUGGUGGCUUUCAGCUGCAAGCGCCGUCUGCUGCCAGGAUGCUGACCCCUCAGACGACCAGCAUCUGCUGCUCAGACUCCUCGGUAACACGCCGCCUUCAAGCAAAAAUGUUCUGUUUUAGUUUAGUUUUGAUCUUUUUCAAUUGCAGAUGUUGUUGUCCAGCGGAGCACAUGGGACAUAAGUUAGAAGUGUCUUUGUCGCUCUCGACUCGCUCUCAUUGUUCUCAUCGGC